GACGAACGCUGGCGGCGUGCCUAAUACAUGCAAGUCGAACGAGAGCGACCGGUGCUUGCACUGGUCAAUCUAGUGGCGAACGGGUGAGUAACACGUGGGUAACCUGCCCAUCAGAGGGGGAUAACAUCCGGAAACGGAUGCUAAAACCGCAUAGGUCUUCGAACCGCAUGGUUUGAAGAGGAAAAGAGGCGCAAGCUUCUGCUGAUGGAUGGACCCGCGGUGCAUUAGCUAGUUGGUGAGGUAACGGCUCACCAAGGCCGUGAUGCAUAGCCGACCUGAGAGGGUGAUCGGCCACAUUGGGACUGAGACACGGCCCAAACUCCUACGGGAGGCAGCAGUAGGGAAUCUUCCGCAAUGGACGCAAGUCUGACGGAGCAACGCCGCGUGAGUGAAGAAGGUUUUCGGAUCGUAAAACUCUGUUGUUAGAGAAGAACAAGUGCUAGAGUAACUGUUAGCGCCUUGACGGCAUCUAACCAGAAAGCCACGGCUAACUACGUG
rnacentral:rRNA from 1 species